GCUCGUAGUUGGAUUUCUUGUGUAUGAAGCGGGUCGGCUCAAAGAGUCUGUGCUAGCUUUCAUACACAAUCCUCGUAACAAGCUGUCGAAUGAUUAAAUUCUUUCGGCAGUGAGUUGCGUCAUUUACUGUGAACAAAUUAGAGUGUUUAAAGCAGGCAAAUGCUGUGAAUACAUUAGCAUGGAAUAAUAAGAUAGGACCUAGAGUCUAUUUUGUUGGUUGCGAUUUUAGGUAAUGAUUAAUAGGGAUAGUUGGGGGUAUUCAUAUUCAAUUGUCAGAGGUGAAAUUCUUGGAUUUAUGGAAGAUGAACAACUGCGAAAGCAUUUACCAAGGAUGUUUUCAUUAAUCAAGAACGAAAGUUAGGGGAUCGAAGAUGAUUAGAUACCAUCGUAGUCUUAACCAUAAACUAUGCCGACUAGGGAUUGGACCACGCUAUUUAAUGGCAGGUUCAGCACCUUAUGAGAAAUCAAAGUCUUUGGGUUCCGGGGGGAGUAUGGUCGCAAGGCUGAAACUUAAAGGAAUUGACGGAAGGGCACCACCAGGAGUGGAGCCUGCGGCU
rnacentral:rRNA from 1 species